CCCGGGGCCCCAGGCGGGGGCUGAGCCGAGCCGAGCCGAGCCGAGCGCCGGGCCGGUCCUUCGCAGGAGCCGUGUCCCGCCUUGAGUGCGCGAGCCGGGACACGGAGGAGAGCUGGUGUAUCCCGGGACAGCGAUCUUGAUCCGGGGACCCUGCAGACGUGCGCGCUUCUUGCCCCGCUCAGAUCCCUGGGGUGGCAGCAGGCUUGCAGUCUGAUAUUAGCCUGCACCAGCAUAGUACAAAAGUGCAGAGCACUGGAACAAAUAGCAGACACUGAGCUCACCAAAAAGCACGCAGCCUUGGACACAUUUCAAUCCGCGACAAGACGAUUCUAGGAAAAAGAAGAAUGCAUUUCUUAGAAUCCCGAGGAAGCAAAAUUACACACUCGGAUGUGCUAAUGCUAAAAGUUGUAUUCAGUUGAUUUGGAGAGCUGUUAAUUGUCACGAUGGAUUUCAGUCGGUGCGGGUGCCUUCGUAAUGUUCCCAUCGGGAUUACAAACACUCCUUACGAAUCAGCAACAAUGACACCGUGAUGGCAGAUUACGCAGCAGGGUCUCAGUGGUCAGAAGAUGCCGGUGGACAAAAAUGCAUCUUUGCUCUCUAACUUCUCCUCCGUGGCCUCCUCCUUGUUCAGAGCAGAUGGCAACUGGACUGGGAUCGGUCUCCAGGAAGUGGCUGUUGGCCUGAUCCUAACUCUGAUCGAUGUGAUCACUUUGCUGGGGAAUACGGUGGUGUUUAUCUGCCCCGUGGUGGAGAAGAGGCUACGCACCGUCACUUACAUGUUCAUCAUGUCCUUGGCCAUGGCAGAUUUCCUUGUGGCUUGUCUGGUCAUGCCUUUUAGGUAAGAGCUCCUGGUGCGGUUAGAUCUGAUUUCCGUGUACCGGCAUAAUGCCCAUCGUGACACCGCACACAGCACAUACUAUGUGAGACAAUAAAGUCUAGUGACGUACGGUACCUGGGCUGUACCCGUGUCUCGGUUUCCCCACCUAGAACAUGGGAAUUAAUGAUGCUUAUGCCCAGAGACCACUCAUCUAUUUCUUGGGCAGUUAAACCCAAGACAACCACAGAAGUCAGCAGGAGUUUUGGGGGCUCAAGGAAUGCAAGACCAGGCCUACACUUCAUCCCACCAACAAAUGUAACCAUUG